AACAGGAUUAGAUACCCUGGUAGUCCACGCCGUAAACGAUGUCGACUUGGAGGUUGUGCCCUUGAGGCGUGGCUUCCGGAGCUAACGCGUUAAGUCGGCCGCCUGGGGAGUACGGCCGCAAGGUUAAAACUCAAAUGAAUUGACGGGGGCCCGCACAAGCGGUGGAGCAUGUGGUUUAAUUCGAUGCAACGCGAAGAACCUUACCUACUCUUGACAUCCAGAGAACUUAGCAGAGAUGCUUUGGUGCCUUCGGGAACUCUGAGACAGGUGCUGCAUGGCUGUCGUCAGCUUGUGUUGUGAAAUGUUGGGUUAAGUCCCGCAACGAGCGCAACCCUUAUCCUUUGUUGCCAGCGGUUCGGCCGGGAACUCAAAGGAGACUGCCAGUGAUAAACUGGAGGAAGGUGGGGAUGACGUCAAGUCAUCAUGGCCCUUACGAGUAGGGCUACACACGUGCUACAAUGGCAUAUACAAAGAGAAGCGACCUCGCGAGAGCAAGCGGACCUCAUAAAGUAUGUCGUAGUCCGGAUUGGAGUCUGCAACUCGACUCCAUGAAGUCGGAAUCGCUAGUAAUCGUGGAUCAGAAUGCCACGGUGAAUGCGUUCCCGGGCCUUGUACACACCGCCCGUCACACCAUGGGAGUGGGUUGCAAAAGAAGCAGGUAGCUUAACCUUCGGGAGGGCGCUUACCACUUUGUGAUUCAUGACUGGGGUGAAGUCGUAACAAGGUAACC
rnacentral:rRNA from 1 species